rnacentral:rRNA from 1 species
UACGUAGGGGGCAAGCGUUGUCCGGAAUCAUUGGGCGUAAAGAGCGCGUAGGCGGCCAGAUAAGUCCGGUGUGAAAGUCACAGGCUCAACCUGUGAAUGCCGCUGGAAACUGUCUGGCUAGAGUCCGGAAGGGGCGAGUGGAAUUCCUGGUGUAGCGGUGAAAUGCGCAGAUAUCAGGAGGAACACCAAUGGCGAAGGCAGCUCGCUGGAACGGUACUGACGCUGUGGCGCGAAAGCGUGGGGAGCGAACAGG